GGAUGAAUGGCUUCGGCCCGUAAACCCCUGUCAUUUGCGAACAAACCUUGCCCGAUAACACCGGGCGAGCUGAUUGUAGCGAAAGAGGAAGGGACGGCUAACUCUGUGCCAGCAGCCGCGGUAAUACAGAGGUCCCAAGCGUUGUUCGGAUUCACUGGGCGUAAAGGGUGCGCAGGUGGUCGGGUAAGUCUGAUGUGAAAUCCCGCAGCUUAACUGCGGAAUGGCAUUGGAUACUAUUCGGCUAGAGGGUUGGAGGGGGGACUGGAAUUCUCGGUGUAGCAGUGAAAUGCGUAGAUAUCGAGAGGAACACCAGUGGCGAAGGCGAGUCCCUGGACAACUCCUGACGCUGAGGCACGAAAGCUAGGGGAGCAAACAGG
rnacentral:rRNA from 1 species